rnacentral:lncRNA from 1 species
AAACAUUUCGAUCAUGGAUUACAAAAAAUUCUAUUAUGGGUUACAAAAACCAAAAAAUUCGAUCAUGGAUUACAAAAAAACAAAAACAAUUCAAUCAUGGAUUACAAAAAAAUCGAUCAAGUAUUACAAAAAAAUCUAUCAUGGAUUACAUAAAAAAAAAAUAAAAAAAAAAUAAAAAAAAAAUCCGUACGGACUCGCCGAUUCCGUACAGUGAAUCGGCGAUUCACUGUACAGAAUCGUCCGGUUCUCUCUAGAACCGGACGAUUUCCUAUUUUUUAGGCGAUCCGGUC